GAUGAACGCUGGCGGCGUGCCUAAUACAUGCCAGUCGAGCGAACGGACGAGAAGCUUGCUUCUCUGAUGUUAGCGGCGGACGGGUGAGUAACACGUGGAUAACCUACCUAUAAGACUGGGAUAACUUCGGGAAACCGGAGCUAAUACCGGAUGAUAUUUUGAACCGCAUGGUUCAAAAGUGAAAGACGGUCUUGCUGUCACUUAUAGAUGGAUCCGCGCUGCAUUAGCUAGUUGGUAAGGUAACGGCUUACCAAGGCAACGAUGCAUAGCCGACCUGAGAGGGUGAUCGGCCACACUGGAACUGAGACACGGUCCAGACUCCUACGGGAGGCAGCAGUAGGGAAUCUUCCGCAAUGGGCGAAAGCCUGACGGAGCAACGCCGCGUGAGUGAUGAAGGUCUUCGGAUCGUAAAACUCUGUUAUUAGGGAAGAACAUAUGCGUAAGUAACUGUGCACAUCUUGACGGUACCUAAUCAGAAAGCCACGGCUAACUACGUG
rnacentral:rRNA from 1 species